ACUCACCCCACCCACCUUGCAAAGUGAUGCAGGACAGGAAAUGGGUUAAUAGAAGCUCGGAUUUAGAAGAGUGCCUGGCACGCCUAAGGGCUCAAGCCGUCUGUGUAAUUAUCUUAAACUUUUUCAUUUCGGAAAUGAAACAGCUCCUCCCUUCACCGCCACCUUGGCUAUUUCUGGGACCAAAGGAAUCCUUGAAGCUGACCGGGCAGGAGAGUCCACGCUGGGAGUAAAAUCACUACAAACGUUUGUAGGGGGGCCCUGGCUGAAUUAGUUCAAUUUCAGGGAGAAAACUGGUGUGUGUGUGUGUGUGUGUGUGUGUGUGUAAAAUCACUGCAAAUGUCUGUCGGGGCGUGGCUGGAUUAGCUCAGUUUCCGGGAGAAAACUGGUGUGUGUGUGUGUGUGUGUGUGUGUUGUGUGUGUGUGUGUGUUGGGAGGAAGGGGGAGGAAGGAGGAGGGCAUUCUCUGGUGGAGGAGAAACAGCCUGAGCUUCUCCCCUUCCCAUGUCUUUCACAGCAGCUCAUACACUGUUUUCUCGCCUUGCAAUGCCCAACUUUCUACCUAAUGACCUACCCUCCCCUAAGGCCCUGCUCAACUCACCUUCACUGAGAAAUCUUCUCUGGCCUUCAGCCCUUUUCUUAAAGCCCAAGGUCUCUGAAGCUGCACUUGAUUGGUUGGAUACUGUAUUAGACCAUUCCCACGCUGCUAAUAAAAACAUACCUGAGACUGGUGUCCAUCAGAAGGCCCCUGCUGAGUAGUUGGCAGGGUGGCUGCACAUAAUGGAAAGCACAUAAGCUUGAAGCCAGACAGAUGGGAGUUCUAACCCCAGCCCUGCCACUUAUUCCCAGGUGACACUGAGUGGAAAUUAGGCCAAAAUAAAUACUACUUUCUGCUUAAAAAAAUGCAGUGAUGUCCAAAGAGAAGGGAGGAGGAAGGAUGAAAGGAAAGACAGAGGAGGAAGGAAGAGAAGAAAGAAGAGUGGCCGGCACAAGGGCUUGGAGAUCCCUGAAGCUGUUUUCCUUUCUCCUCACCCCCACAGGGAGGGAUCCACAUCGUUGUGGGGUUUUUGUUGUUGUUGUUUUUGUUUUUGUUUUUUUGCCUCCCUUCAUCAAAGCAUUCAUUGUAGUGUAUGGUAAUUGUCUCUGAAUGUAACAGCCUCUCUUCCCUGAGGCCUGGGUCUGCUUGUUUCAUACCAUCUUCUCCUUAACACACAGUGCUUGGUAAACAAUACCUAUUAAUAAACAUUUGUUGAAUGAAUGAAUGAGUGAAUGAACGAAUACUGCACUCUUUCGACUUGGUUAGAGACAUGUCUUGUAGGCUGGCAUGUACUUCACACAGCACUCUUAGGUAGAGUUUGUAUAUGUUAUUCCAUUGAAGGGAAAAGGAAGCCAGACUGUGGGGAGAAAAAAAAAAAAAAAA
rnacentral:lncRNA from 1 species